rnacentral:rRNA from 1 species
UACAGAGGGGGCAAGCGUUGUUCGGAAUUACUGGGCGUAAAGGGCGCGUAGGCGGCCUUCUAAGUCGAACGUGAAAUCCCCGGGCUCAACCCGGGAACUGCGUCCGAUACUGGAAGGCUUGAAUCUGGGAGAGGGAUGUGGAAUUCCAGGUGUAGCGGUGAAAUGCGUAGAUAUCUGGAGGAACACCGGUGGCGAAGGCGACAUCCUGGACCGGUAUUGACGCUGAGGCGCGAAAGCCAGGGGAGCAAACGGG